CUUCAGAAAAAAAUUGGAGGAAUAUUUACUGCACAUACAUGCUGUGGAAUUGCAGGGUCCCCUGGCACAGCUUAUAUUUGGAAACUAGCUUGAAGAUCAGGCACGGCGUUCUACAUCUGCCCUUAUGCCUAAAAUAAAUAUUGCAGACUGGUACAGACACUGUGGAAAGCAGUAUGGAAAUACCUAAAAAUAUUAAAAAUGGAUCUGCUUUUUGGCCCAAGGAUUCCACUUCUGGGAAUAUAACUGCAGGAACCCAAAACACUAAUUUGAAAGAACAUAAGCACCUCUACAUUCAUUGUGGCACUACUUCCAGUCGCCAAGAUAUGGAAGCGGCCCAAGUGUCCAUCAGUAGAUGAGUGGAUAAAACAACUAUGAGACAUUUACAUAAUGGAAUUCUACUCAACCAUAAAAAAGAAGAAAAUUUUACCCUUUCCAACAGUGUAGAUGGACCUGGAGAACAUUAUGCUAAGUGAAAUAAGCCAGUAAGAGAAAGACAAAUACCAUAUGAUUUACUUCCAUGUGGAAUCCAAUGAACAAACUGAACUAACAAGUAAAACAGAGACAGACUCAUAGAUGGAGAACAGAUGAUAACUAGUGGUAGAGGGGAGGUUAGGGGGUGGAGGGAUUGACAAAAAGAAAAAAGGACUCAUGGACAUGGACAGUAUGGUGACUGCUGGGGGGAAGCGGGUAUAAGGGGACUAAGU